rnacentral:piRNA from 1 species
UCCUUCUCCUUAUUUAGUUCCUUGGAUACAGU